rnacentral:rRNA from 1 species
GACGAACGCUGGCGGCGUGCCUAACACAUGCAAGUCGAACGAGGUCCAUCCCGUGGCAACACGGGUGAAGACCUAGUGGCGAACGGGUGAGUAACACGUGAGGAACCUGCCCCGAAGACCGGGAUAACCCUCCGAAAGGAGAGCUAAUACCGGAUGUCCCCACCUGGCCGCAUGACCGGGUGAGGAAAUGGAUUCCGCUUCGGGAGGGCCUCGCGGCCUAUCAGCUUGUUGGUGGGGUAACGGCCCACCAAGGCAUCGACGGGUAGCUGGUCUGAGAGGACGAUCAGCCACACUGGGACUGAGACACGGCCCAGACUCCUACGGGGGGCAGCAGUGGGGAAUCUUGCGCAAUGGGCGAAAGCCUGACGCAGCAACGCCGCGUGGGGGAUGAAGGCUCUCGGGUUGUAAACCCCUUUCAGCAGGGACGAAUCAAGACGGUACCUGCAGAAGAAGCCCCGGCUAACUACGUGCCAGCAGCAGCCGCCGUAA